GCGGAGAGCCCAGAGCAGGCGCGCCGUGGCCGGGAUGCACUAUCCGGAUCUUCCGGAAAAGUCGGCGCGCCCAGCCCGCCCCUAGCGUGCCCGCGCCGCCGCUAUUGGGCCACGGGCUGUCCGGCCCCCGCUCAUUGGUCCGCGGCUGCACGGUGCCUGCAGUCCCACCCCUCGCCCAGCGGCCGCGACGCUAUGGCGCACUGGAGUACCCUGUUCCUGGCAGGUCCCACUCCAUUGCCCAAGCUGAAGUUCAGUGGCACGAACAUGUUUCACUGCAGCCUCAACCUCCUGGGCUCAAGCUGUCCUGCCUCAGCCUCCCGUGUAGCUGGGACCACAAGCACUCGCCAUCACACCUGGAUAAUUUUUUGAUGUUUCAUGGAGACAGUGCUUCACUUUGUUGCCUAUGCUGGUCUUGAACUCCUGGCCUCAAGCAAUCCUUCUGCUUUGGCCUUCCAGAGUGCUGAAAUUACAGGGGAGGAACAGGAAGAGAAGAGUGUGGCCUCCUAGAAAUCUAGCACGGAGAAAGACUGGUCUUGAACUCCUGACCUCGUGAUACUCAGCCUCCCAAAGUGCUGGGAUUACAGGAGUGAACCACCAAGCCCGGCUUGACCUCUUGGCUUUUACCAAAGGAUGUUUGCUUCUGAGGAAGCUGGAAGCUGCAGCCACAAUGUGCCUUUGCAGGGGAGCCUGAGAGCCACAGAUGUUAAGGAGAACUGCAAACCACUGUUCAAUGAAAUAAAAGAGAAUACAAACAAAUGGAACAACAUUCCACGCUCAUGGGUUGGAAGAAUCAAUAUCGUGAAAAUGGCCAUACUGCCCAAGGUAAUUUAUAGAUUCAAUGCCAUCCCCAUCAAGCUACCAAUGACUUUCUUCACAGAAUUGGAAAAAACUACUUUAAAGUUCAUAUGGAACAAAAAAGAGCCCGCAUCGCCAAGUCAAUCCUAAGCCAAAAGAACAAAGCCAGAGGCAUCAUGCUACCUGACUUCAAACUAUACUACAAGGCUACAAUAACCAAAACAGCAUGGUACUGGUACCAAAACAGAGAUAUAGAUCAAUGGAACAGAACAGAGUCCUCAGAAAUAACACCACAUAUCUACAACCAUCUGAUCUUUGACAAACCUGACAAAAACAAGCAGUGGGGAAAGGAUUCCCUAUUUAAUAAAUGGUGCUGGGAAAACUGGCUAGUCAUAUGUAGAAAGCUGAAACUGGAUCCCUUCCUUACACCUUAGACAAAAAUUAAUUCAAGAUGGAUUAAAGACUUACAUGUUAGAACUAAAACCAUAAAAACCCUAGAAGAAAACCUAGGCAAUACCAUUCAGGACAUAGGCAUGGGCAAGGACUUCAUGUCUAAAACACCAAAAGCAAUGGCAACAAAAGCCAAAAUUGACAAACGGGAUCUAACUAAACUAAAGAGCUUCUGCACAGCAAAAGAAACUACCAUCAGACUGAACAGGCAACCUACAAAAUGGGAGAAAAUUUUCGCAACCUACUCAUCCAACAAAGGGCAAAUAUCCAGAAUCUACAAUGAACUCAAAUAAAUUUACAAGAAAAAAACAAACAACCCCAUCAAAAAGUGGGCGGAGGAUAUGAACAGACACUUCUCAAAAGAAGACAUUUAUGCAGCCAAAAAACACAUGAAAAAAUGCUCAUCAUCACUGGCCAUCAGAGAAAUGCAAAUCAAAACCACAAUGAGAUACCAUCUCACACCAGUUAGAAUGGCGAUCAUUAAAAAGUCAGGAAACAACAGGUGCUAGAGAGGAUGUGGAGAAAUAGGAACACUUUUACACUGUUGUUGGGACUCUAAACUAGUUCAACCAUUGUGGAAGUCAGUGUGGCGAUUCCUCAGGGAUCUAGAACUAGAAAUACCAUUUGACCCAGCCAUCCCAUUACUGGGUAUAUACCCAAAGGACUAUAAAUCAUGCUGCUAUAAAGACACAUGCACACGUAUGUUUAUUGCGGCACCAUUCACAAUAGCAAAGACUUGGAACCAACCCAAAUGCCCAACAACGAUAGACUGGAUUAAGAAAAUGUGGCACUUAUACACCAUGGAAUACUAUGCAGCCAUAAAACAUGAUGAAACUGGAAACCAUCAUUCUCAGCAAACUAUCACAAGGACAAAAAACCAAACACCGCAUGUUCUCACUCAUAGGUGGGAAUUGAACAAUGAGAACACAUGGACACAGGAAGGGGAACAUCACACCCCGGGGACU
rnacentral:lncRNA from 1 species